rnacentral:rRNA from 1 species
GACGAACGCUGGCGGCAUGCCUAACACAUGCAAGUCGAGCGAGCUGAUUCCUUCGGGAUGAAGCUAGCGGCGGACGGGUGAGUAACACGUGGGCAACCUGCCUCAUAGAGGGGAAUAGCCUCCCGAAAGGAAGAUUAAUACCGCAUAAGCUUGCAUCUUCGCAUGAAGAAGCAAUUAAAGGAGUAAUCCGCUAUGAGAUGGGCCCGCGGCGCAUUAGCUAGUUGGUGAGGUAAAGGCUCACCAAGGCGACGAUGCGUAGCCGACCUGAGAGGGUGAUCGGCCACAUUGGGACGGAGACACGGCCCGGACUCCUACGGGAGGCAGCAGUGGUGGAUAUUGCACAAUGGGGGAAACCCUGAUGCAGCAAUGCCGCGUGAGUGAUGACGGCCUUCGGGUUGUAAAGCUCUGUCUUCGGGGACGAUAAUGACGGUACCCGAGGAGGAAGCCACGGCUAACUACGUGCCAGCCGCCGCAGUAA